UAGGGAAUUUUCGUCAAUGGGGGCAACCCUGAACGAGCAAUGCCGCGUGAGCGAAGAAGGUCUUCGGAUUGUAAAGCUCUGUUGCCGGGGAAAAAGGAAGGAAAGAGGAAAU
rnacentral:rRNA from 1 species